rnacentral:rRNA from 1 species
GCAGGCCUAAUACAUGCAAGUCGAACGGACUGGAGACCUUCGGGUUUCCAGUUAGUGGCGCACGGGUGCGUAACGCGUAUGCAACCUACCUUCUAUUGGGGGAUAGCCCACCGAAAGGUGGAUUAAUACCGCAUAACACCAUGACAUGGCAUCAUGUUACGGUUAAAGUUUCGGCGAUAGAAGAUGGGCAUGCGUGCCAUUAGCUAGUUGGCGGGGUAAAGGCCCACCAAGGCGACGAUGGCUAGGGGUUCUGAGAGGAUGGUCCCCCACACUGGUACUGAGACACGGACCAGACUCCUACGGGAGGCAGCAGUAGGGAAUAUUGGGCAAUGGGCGAGAGCCUGACCCAGCCAUGCCGCGUGCAGGAAGAAGGCCUUCUGGGUUGUAAACUGCUUUUACCAGGGAAGAAAACGCUCCUGCGGGAGUAACUGACGGUACCUGGUGAAUAAGCACCGGCUAACUCCGUGCCAGCAGCCGCGGUAAUACGGAGGGUGCAAGCGUUGUCCGGAUUUAUUGGGUUUAAAGGGUGCGUAGGCGGCCCGUUAAGUCAGCGGUGAAAUCCCAGGGCUCAACCCUGGAACUGCCGUUGAUACUGGCGGGCUUGAGUUCGGUCGAGGCGGGCGGAACUGGUGGUGUAGCGGUGAAAUGCUUAGAUACCACCAAGAACCCCGAUUGCGUAGGCAGCUCGCUUGGCCGAAACUGACGCUGAGGCACGAAAGCGUGGGGAGCGAACAGGAUUAGAUACCCUGGUAGUCCACGCCGUAAACGAUGAUGACUCGAUGUUGGCGAUACACUGUCAGCGUCCAAGCGAAAGCGUUAAGUCAUCCACCUGGGGAGUACGCCCGCAAGGGUGAAACUC